AUCGUUUUAUAGUUCAUAAGCGUGAUGACAGGGUUUUCAUGCUCAUGUGUGAGAUGUGCCCCCCUAAAACCUUGUUACAAUGUCAGCACAUUACUCCGCUGACA